rnacentral:rRNA from 1 species
UACGAAGGGGGCUAGCGUUGCUCGGAAUCACUGGGCGUAAAGCGCACGUAGGCGGCUUUUUAAGUCAGGGGUGAGAUCCUGGAGCUCAACUCCAGAACUGCCUUUGAUACUGGAGAGCUUGAGUCCGGAAGAGGUGAGUGGAACUCCGAGUGUAGAGGUGAAAUUCGUAGAUAUUCGGAAGAACACCAGUGGCGAAGGCGGCUCACUGGUCCGGUACUGACGCUGAGGUGCGAAAGCGUGGGGAGCAAACAGG